GCUCGAGUGGCGAACGGGUGAGUAACACGUGAGUAACCUGCCCUUGACUUUGGGAUAACUUCAAGAAACUGGGGCUAAUACCGGAUAGGAGCUCCUGCUGCAUGGUGGGGGUUGGAAAGUUUCGGCGGUUGGGGAUGGACUCGCGGCUUAUCAGCUUGUUGGUGGGGUAGUGGCUUACCAAGGCUUUGACGGGUAGCCGGCCUGAGAGGGUGACCGGCCACAUUGGGACUGAGAUACGGCCCAG
rnacentral:rRNA from 1 species